UACGUAGGGGGCAAGCGUUGUCCGGAUUUAUUGGGCGUAAAGAGCGUGUAGGCGGCCGUACAGGUCAGCUGUGAAAAACUCGAGGCUCAACCUCGAGACGUCGGUUGAAACCGUACGGCUAGAGUCCGGAAGAGGAGAGUGGAAUUCCCGGUGUAGCGGUGAAAUGCGCAGAUAUCGGGAAGAACACCCGUGGCGAAGGCGGCUCUCUGGGACGGUACUGACGCUGAGACGCGAAAAGCGUGGGGGAGCGAACAGG
rnacentral:rRNA from 1 species